UAUAGAAAAGAGCAAAUUCUUUGAAAAAAGAAGACGCAAAGCUGCGGGUCUAAGGAUUAUAUAUUAAUCUAUGACGGCUGGGUUGCCUAU
rnacentral:ncRNA from 1 species